rnacentral:rRNA from 1 species
AGACGGUACCUGCAGAAGAAGCGCCGGCUAACUACGUGCCAGCAGCCGCGGUAAUACGUAGGGCGCAAGCGUUAUCCGGAUUUAUUGGGCGUAAAGAGCUCGUAGGCGGUUUGUCGCGUCUGCCGUGAAAGUCCGAGGCUCAACCUCGGAUCUGCGGUGGGUACGGGCAGACUAGAGUGAUGUAGGGGAGACUGGAAUUCCUGGUGUAGCGGUGAAAUGCGCAGAUAUCAGGAGGAACACCGAUGGCGAAGGCAGGUCUCUGGGCAUUUACUGACGCUGAGGAGCGAAAGCAUGGGGAGCGAACAGGAUUAGAUACCCUGGUAGUCCAUGCCGUAAACGUUGGGCACUAGGUGUGGGGGACAUUCCACGUUUUCCGCGCCGUAGCUAACGCAUUAAGUGCCCCGCCUGGGGAGUACGGCCGCAAGGCUAAAACUCAAAGGAAUUGACGGGGGCCCGCACAAGCGGCGGAGCAUGCGGAUUAAUUCGAUGCAACGCGAAGAACCUUACCAAGGCUUGACAUGUGCCAGACCGCUUCAGAGAUGGAGUUUCCCUUCGGGGCUGGUUCACAGGUGGUGCAUGGUUGUC